CUGUUGUGCUCUCAGGAGCACGGAAGCCUUCGUGCUCCUGAGCCGUUUUCAAUGAUGAAAUUUUCGAAUCGACGAUCGGCUUCGUUAGACUUGAUCUAGCGUAUUUGAAGUUUCUAGAAAAUAAUUUUUGCGAUUUUUUGAUAUCAUUUACCUAGUGAUCGAAAGUGUUCAAAAUCAAUAAUUUUUAAUGGUUGAUAUCUGUCGUUUUCAAGUUUAACGGUGUAGAAAUAUUCAAAUCAGAUAAAAUUUUGAUACAAAAUUCUUUAUACUAUUUAUAACAAUAUCAAUAUUUCUGAUAGAAAAUUUUAGUGCUAUAUUACCACUUUUAUAGGAUUUUUAUUUUCAGCCGUUAAAAAUUAUUGAUUUUGAAUCCCUUUGAUUGCUAGGUAAAUGAUAUCAAAAAAUCGCAAAAAUUAUUUUCUAGAAACUUCAAAUACGCUAGAUCAAGUCUAACGGAGCCGAUCGUCGAUUCGAAAAUUUCAUUAUCGAAAACGGCUCAGGAGCACGGAGGCCUCCGUGCUCCUGAGAGCACAGCAGUCUCUCUC
rnacentral:lncRNA from 1 species